rnacentral:rRNA from 1 species
CCUACGGGUGGCAGCAGUGGGGAAUUUUGGACAAUGGGCGCAAGCCUGAUCCAGCCAUUCCGCGUGAGUGAAGAAGGCCUUCGGGUUGUAAAGCUCUUUCGCAAGGGAAGAAAACUUAUCCUCUAACAUAGGAUGAGGUUGACGGUACCUUGAUAAGAAGCACCGGCUAACUACGUGACAGCAGCCGCGGUAAUACGUAGGGUGCGAGUGUUAAUCGGAAUUAAUGAGGCUAUAGCGUGCGCCAGCUGUGAAAUCCCCGAGCUCAACUUGGGAACUGCGUGUGAAACUACAAGACUAGAAUAGGUCAGAGGGGGGUAGAAUUCCACGUGUAGCAGUGAAAUGCGUAGAGAUGUGGAGGAAUAUCAAUGGCGAAGGCAGCCCCCUGGGAUCAUAUUGACGCUCAUGCACGAAAGCGUGGGGAGCAAACAGGAUUAGAUACCCCUGUAGUC